UAAUCUCAGCUGGUAAAUCUGA
rnacentral:miRNA from 1 species